GAGGCGAUGAAGGGCGUGCUAAUCUGCGAUAAGCGCCGGUAAGGUGAUAUGAACCGUUAUAACCGGCGAUACCCGAAUGGGGAAACCCAGUGUGUUUCGACACACUAUCAUUAACUGAAUCCAUAGGUUAAUGAGGCGAACCGGGGGAACUGAAACAUCUAAGUACCCCGAGGAAAAGAAAUCAACCGAGAUUCCCCCAGUAGCGGCGAGCGAACGGGGAGGAGCCCAGAGCCUGAAUCAGCAUGUGUGUUAGUGGAAGCGUCUGGAAAGGCGCGCGAUACAGGGUGACAGCCCCGUACACAAAAGCGCAUGUGCUGUGAGCUCGAUGAGUAGGGCGGGACACGUGGUAUCCUGUCUGAAUAUGGGGGGACCAUCCUCCAAGGCUAAAUACUCCUGACUGACCGAUAGUGAACCAGUACCGUGAGGGAAAGGCGAAAAGAACCCCGGCGAGGGGAGUGAAAAAGAACCUGAAACCGU
rnacentral:rRNA from 1 species